rnacentral:rRNA from 1 species
UACGAAGGUGUCGAACGUUGUCCGGAAUAACUGGGCGUAAAGGGCGCGUAGGCGGUCGGGUAAGUGGGAUGUGAAAGCUCUGGGCUCAACCCAGGAAUUGCAUUCCAUACUGCUCGACUUGAGUUCGGUAGAGGAGGGCGGAAUUCCAGGUGUAGCGGUGAAAUGCGUAGAUAUCUGGAGGAACACCCGUGGCGAAGGCGGCUCUCUGGUCCGAUACUGACGCUGAGGCGCGAAAGCUAGGGGAGCAAACGGG